CCUGAAGCGCCUUUGGUCAUGGCAUCUAUCAUUUAACCUAUUAUAACACCCACAUUUUAGUACUUAUUCCCAAUGGGGAGCAGAGCAUAAUGAAGAGAGCAACAGAAUAUUCAACAGCAAUCUGGUAAAGUCUACGGAGAAGAGAGGCCAAAGCACAGAGGAAGAUGGGAAGAAAAAGACUGGAAAAGCAGUGGGUACUUCUUUAUGAGGAAAAAGCAGUGGGUACUUCUCUAUAGCUACCAAUUCACAGCUGACAAUGUAUUUGAAAAACAAGACAAUCUUUGCAUUGAAGCCAUCAAGUUCGCACAAUCACUUCCCUUUAUGGAGAUGCCCUCUUAUGGUAUUGACCCCUUUCACAGCAGCUGGAAAUCCCCUCUGUGCUGCUACCUGAACAACCCCUUCACCGCAACUCUGCCAACUGGAAACAAGUUAAAUUUUUUAUGCAAUUCAGCAUUCUUAUUGCUAAAAAGAACAAUACAAAGAGUCCAGAAGAGUGAAAGUUAAGAAAGUCCCUCUGAAUUUACUUCCUUGAGUAUCCCUUACAACAUACUCUAUGAGAAGGGACCAUCCCGAGAGUAAGUGCAAUAUCUUGAUGAAGUUCCUUGUCUGAGUGGCACAACUUACAGAUGAGUGUUACAUUGACUGCUUUGGAGUAAUGUAAUGGUGCCUAAAAUGGUGCCCGAAGUGCUUAGAAGAACAUUUGUAUUUAAAUGUCUAACAAACUUCAAG
rnacentral:lncRNA from 1 species